UACGGGGGGGGCAAGCGUUGUUCGGAAUUACUGGGCGUAAAGGGCUCGUAGGUGGCCAACUAAGUCAGACGUGAAAUCCCUCGGCUUAACCGGGGAACUGCGUCUGAUACUGGAUGGCUUGAGUUCGGGAGAGGGAUGCGGAAUUCCAGGUGUAGCGGUGAAAUGCGUAGAUAUCUGGAGGAACACCGGUGGCGAAGGCGGCGUUCUGGACUGUUUCUGACACUGAAUAACGAAAGCCAGGGGAGCAAACGGG
rnacentral:rRNA from 1 species